rnacentral:rRNA from 1 species
AGCGUGGACGGAUGGACAAGUCUGAUGUGAAAGGCUGGGGCUCAACCCCGGGACUGCAUUGGAAACUGCCCGUCUUGGGUGCCGGAGAGGUAAGCGGAAUUCCUAGUGUAGCGGUGAAAUGCGUAGAUAUUAGGAGGAACACCAGUGGCGAAGGCGGCCUACUGGGCUUUAACUGACGCUGAAGCACGAAAGCAUGGGUAAGCAAACA